AGGUCCAUUCUAAUUCCCUGCAGGUUGGUGCCAGUACCUGCUGGGUUUCGCUUGUGGACUACAUUAAGCUGGAAAACGUAGGUGUGUAUGAGCUUACUGGUAGUCUGCUCAUGGCAUAGUUUUCUGGACAUGU
rnacentral:snoRNA from 2 species